rnacentral:rRNA from 1 species
AUUGAACGCUGGCGGCAGGCCUAACACAUGCAAGUCGAACGGUAACAGGAAGCAGCUUGCUGCUUUGCUGACGAGUGGCGGACGGGUGAGUAAUGUCUGGGAAACUGCCUGAUGGAGGGGGAUAACUACUGGAAACGGUAGCUAAUACCGCAUAACGUCGCAAGACCAAAGAGGGGGACCUUAGGGCCUCUUGCCAUCGGAUGUGCCCAGAUGGGAUUAGCUUGUUGGUGGGGUAACGGCUCACCUAGGCGACGAUCCCUAGCUGGUCUGAGAGGAUGACCAGCCACACUGGAACUGAGACACGGCCCAGACUCCUACGGGAGGCAGCAGUGGGGAAUAUUGCACAAUGGGCGCAAGCCUGAUGCAGCCAUGCCGCGUGUAUGAAGAAGGCCUUCGGGUUGUAAAGUACUUUCAGCGGGGAGGAAGGGAGUAAAGUUAAUACCUUUGCUCAUUGACGUUACCCGCAGAAGAAGCACCGGCUAACUCCGUG